rnacentral:lncRNA from 1 species
AAAAAACAAGUUCCCAGCAAAGAGGGUUCCAAACAAAGUCUCUAACAGGCUUCACAUUGAACGAUCCUAUUACCCUCAGUAAACCUAUGCUAGCUUCUGCACUGAAGGCCUUGGUAGCAACAGAGAAAGACAGUGACUCAGUCAUUACCCAGGAACUUUUCAACACAUUACAGUACAUGUGAUGUGAAAACAGCCCCAAUGUCAGCCAGGAGACGGCUAGUGAAUUCACCUGCCGUAACUUUUAUGCAGUGCAGCACUCUGUACAACUAUGAGGAAUCUGUCCUGAACCACAGAUGUGCACAGGAUAUAGUCAACAGCACAAUGUCAGCAGAGGGAUGCACUGUAGGAUUCCAUACAUCUUAGGAUAAGGCCAAUAAGACAAACCAGGAAUUUCCACAGGCAUACCUCUGUGCAGGGAAAGUAAAGAAGUUAAUUUUUUAUUUUUUAAAAAGGUAUAUUGCUUGACUUUUUAAUGUACCAGGAAACACGUUAACUGCAGAACAAUAAAAAUGUAUAAAAAUGAAGAGAAAGGAACAUGUUCUUCCUCUCUCUGAGCAAAUAAACCUCAUAGGGAUUGAGACAAAACAAGACAGUAAGCUCCACAUGAGAGGGGGCAGGGGAUUCAAAGAGUGCUGGUCAGCCAGCUUUGCCCACCAACAUGCACAUCUGCAUGGACAUGCAUACAUAUAAAACACACACACGCUUGCACACACAUAUCAUAGAAAUCAUAAGUGAACACACACACAUCAUAGAAAUCACAAGUGAGCAGAAAGCAAUGAGGACAUCAUAGUGGAAGAACAGUUGAAUUUAGAUUAUGCACAGUAGAUAGUUCAAGUGAGACCCAUGACUCUGAUAUUCAGCCAUGGGAACUGAAAAUUCCUAGGGAGCACAGAACUUAGACAGAUGAUGUUGAGGUAGUUGGAGAAAUUUUUCUCUUGAAGCCUCAAAUCUGUCACACUAACCCCCAACCUGUGAGAAGCCUUUCCCACAUUGCUGGUCAUCCAGUCAGCACUAGAGUGUAAGCUCAGGAAAGAACUCUCCAACAGCACUCACAGAAACAGGAUUGACAAGCUGCUACUCAGGCCCUGUCAGUGUGAACCAGGACCUGCAAAGGUUGAAGAGACCAUCUUGUGAUGCAAGGAACAAGAGGGAACAAGAGGGAGAAAGGCCACAUGUCACUCAAAAAGGUGACAAUGAGAGCAACUCAUUUCCAAUGGGCAACACUCUACAAUUUUCAUCUAUGAAGUUGCCUCUGACCUCACAUGACCCCUCUAAAGCAAAUGAGCUUCAGGCCUCUGACCACAUCAAUCAAAAACUCUGUGCUUAUUCCAGAAGUGGCUCCCAAAUAGCUCUUCUAACCCAAUGGUAUGUCAGUAUGUGAUAUGUGAUCAACCUAUCUCCCUUAAUGGACUGCAGCUUCUAGUAGAGCAGGAAAGUUUGCUUUCCUGAAAGAGGCAAACUCCACAGAAAGUCUUGUAAGUGAUCACAGAAAUGGACUACUGAAUAAGACAUUGGAGAGUGCCUGGAUAAGGUGGAGGAUGGUUGCAUAGGCUUGACGGUGCUUAUGCUUAGACAUGAAGGCAGCCUGCCCUGAUGCUUUCUUUAUUCAUUAUACCUGCUGCUGCUGCUGCUUGGUAUAUAGGUCGUUGAUCUUAAUGCUGGACUCCACACACAGUGAUUGUUUCCUUGGAGUAUUCUUGGUAGUAUAGUCUGCCCCCUCCAACUUUCUGUUCUCCUUCCUUAGUGUGAUCACUUUAUGCUUCACCUGAGUGUAUUCAUCCAAGGGGUGGCAAUGUUUGGUGCUGAACUACAACCAAACAAAUGGUGAGCCACUGCCAGCUUCAUCUGCCUCCCACUCCUUCAAGUACUCGUGAGUACUAGACAGCAAAAGGGAUGAGGAUAUGAUCCUGGAAGAGGAUAUGAUCCCCAUUUGUGCUUAUACAUCUAUAGUUUUGGAAAACCAUGAGCAGGGAGAGGGCAAACCCUGCCUGAGAGAUGAGACAAGACGCAAUAGGAAUGCAGUCUUUCCAUGUGUCUCAUGGAACCCAGAUCUUUAAAUCUCCUGUCAGAGCUCCAGAGGCUCAGAGCUGAUGGAUUUCACCUCAUAAUGCACCCCCUUUUCUUUCUAGAGGCGCCAGAGUUGGGCAGGACAAUGCUUGUAGGGGCUAGCAGAUGUUUCACACUCAGGAAAACUGAGUCAUGAGGGACAAGUCUAAGAAUCUCAGGGCAAGCCUUUUGCUAAGAGGCAGACAGUAUAGAACCAGAGCCAUCACUUUGGUUCAAAAACAAAGAAGGGAAGAAGCAUUCCGUGCCAAUUCCUGGGGUCCCAGUCAUGUCAGCCACUAGUAGGAUUCAUUCUCUUUAAUCAGCUCCUUGCACUUAUCUAAAGUCUCUUAUCUCCUGGUGCAUUUCCUGAAGGUGGCACUUCUGGAGUUGUAUAUUGAGUAUGUAGAACUCAAAGUUCUCCUGAGGUAGGGCAUACUCCUUGGGUGCAACAAACCCCACGAAUGCAGGAUUCAAAGAUAAGAUUAAUUCAGGCUGCAUCCAGAACUACUCUUCAGGAGAUGCCAAAUUUUGGCUCCUAUGUGCUGGUCCUCCUGGUGCUUAAUAAAGUUAUUAUCCUAGCCGCAGGCCAAAAGAAGAUGUGGGGGGAGGGGGAAGGAGGGAGCUGGCCUAGAUGAGCUCUCAGUGGGACUGAGGGAAGACACUAGCUCUCUAAGAAAUUCCUAGGUGUGUCUGACAGAAACCUAGGUCCACCAGAAUCCCUUGAUGAUAUUUCUCCUAUGAAUGCCCAGAGGACAUGACCAGUACUUCCAGGAAAGGGGCUUUAUAAAUUCCCCACAUGAUUUCUGUUUGUCACAAAGGUGAGCACAAGGAAAAAGGGCUCUGCUGCUCAAAGUGGAGUUUCAGGGCCUCAUCACUGGCAUCACCUGAAAACUUGUGACAGGCAAAUCCUUAGGCCCCAAUUCCCAUUAUCUGGAGGUAUACACACAUGAGCACAUGCACAAACACACACAGACAAUUAGAAUUCCCAGUGAAUAUAGGGACAUGGCAUUGUUCAUUGUCUCAGAGAAUAAUGAACAGAGCCAGGGACGAGCAGGGAUGACCUGCACGCCAUUCAGUCACACACUGAGGACCACCAAGUAGGACCAGGCCCCUCCAGCUACUAGCAGGGCCAAUCAGACCCCACCCACCUCCAGAGAAAAUACAAAAAAAGAUUCACCAAAAACUCACGGCCCCUAGCAUCUUGCAUAAGCCAGUAGCUGUCAAGGCCUCAUAAAAGGCACGAUGGCAGCUCAUACACUACUGCCCGUAUCCCCAUAUUGUGACUCAGACUACAGGCUCUGCUAUUCAUUUGAAGGAAACAAAUAGUUCGUGUUCCCAUUCACUCCUAACUGGGAUUCAAGUUCUGCCUCACGAUGGCAGCUCACACACUACUGCCCUUAUCCCCAGAUUGUGACUCAGACUACAGGCUCUGCUAUUCAUUUGAAGGAAACAAAAAUACUUCGUGUUCCCAUUCACUCCUAACUGGGAUUCAAGUUCUGCCUCUAAGAGGUGCAUAGGAAAAUUAGUUUGGGUGUGAGGACACCCGGAUGUGCAGCCUUCUGUGACAUGAGGAAAGCUGACUUAGCAGAAAGGGAUCAAGACACAACAGGGAGCUGGGGAUAAUGACUGCCUGUCUGUUGUUCAAAUCCUUAUUGGUGCAAUGGACCAGGAUUCCACUAAGUUCAUUCCUCUCAAUGCUGAUCUUAUGGAGACCCCUCUUUAGUUUCUCCAACUUCUUCAUCUGCUGCUCCUGCUCAGUGAUGGUGGAGGGUUGGGAUGAUGCCUUCCCGCCAGACCUUGUAGGUGGAUAAAUGCAAGUGAACUUGCAUAGUUGAUGGCACAGAAAGACUGCUGAGUCUCUAAAAGAAGCUGAGGAUGAGGGAAUGCUAGAGACACAGUGAAUCCCUGAAAGAGCAAGAAAGCUAUCUUCAUGCUGGGCUCCUCAGUUAUGUCCUUGUUCACACUCAUCAUAACUAGAUAUAUCCCUCACUCCCCAUUGCAGUCCCCCUGUCACUGAAAUGCAGAAGCUAGCCCAUACAUGAAGAAUUGGAGGGUAUUGUCAGAUCAAAUCUGAUAUGAUACAAAUAAGUCCUGAAGUCCAUAGUGGUUAAGGCCACCAAGUCCUAAACCUGUAUUCAAGUUCAAAGUGUCUGAAUGUCAGAGACCUUGAUAUAUGACCAGGAUAGUACCCUCCUGUUCUUGGCAUCACAUACCCAUAUAACCUACAGAAAUCUAGAACUUCCUCUUGGCAUCCUUUGCCACUCAGAAUGAAAUUAAAGAGCUCCCAGCAAAAACAGCUGCAUGCUUGUCAAUUCCUGUAUCUGUGCUAAACUAACCAUCAGAAAUUAUUGAUGCUGAGUCUACUCAGUAUGAACACAUAGGCUCCAAAUGAUAAACCCUACUCCUAGAAGGCCCAGCACAAGCCCACCUCCUCCAGGAAGCUCCCUAUCCCCAGCCAAUGAUUUAUUCUGCCAUCCACAGGAUCCAUUUAUUUCUUUCCUCUUACUCCAAGACCAAAACCAGCUUCCUUCUCUCUCCUCUCUUUGCUCUCCCUUCUCUCUCCUAAAUGUUCUGUUCAGCCAGGCAAACAGCCUGGGAGAAACCUAAAGAUACUGACUGAAUGCCCUAAAGAGAGUUACUGUUGCCACAAUAUGGGUGACCUCAUGGAGAAUACUAAGGAAUCUCAGGGAUAUAUUGGAAUCUCCAGAAGAGGAUCUGGUAGCUUCCCUUCAGCAGCCCCAAAUCACCAGACACCAAACUGCCCUUUCCUGGAGCCUUCCUGGAGACACAAGGGGAGGCCUUCAAUUACUCCCCCAUCCAAAGCCAGAGAUCUCUCUGCUCCAUUAGACUCUUUUCACUCCUUCAUGUAUGAACAGUGAAGACACUUUCCAAAACAGACUAGAAAUGCUCCUCCUCCUCCUAAAGAUCUUUAAUCAACGAGUUGAUGAAUAAAGUCUUCGAGGAAAUUAAGUCAAGAUGGUGAGGAAGAAAGAUUGCUCCCAUGGCAGUGCUCAAGCACAUCAGGGUAGAUCUACAGGGCUCUUUCAGUAUGGCAAGAUAAUGCUGCCCAGUGUGACUGACUCAUCAGACGAUAAGAAGCAAUGACUAGAAGCAAAGAAGAAGUGAAGAGGAGGGGCAAGGCUGAGGCUCCUGAACUCCUGAGCUCAGCUGGAGAGACCCUCCUGUCUUAGGGUUUCCAUUACUGUGAAGAGACACUAUGACCAAGGCCACUCUUAUAAAGGAAAACAUUUAAUUGGAGCUGACUUACAGAUUCAGAGGUUAUGUCCAUUAUCAUGGCAGGAAGCAUGGCAGCAUUCAGGCUAGCAUGGUGCUAGAGAAGCUGAGAGUUCUUUGUCUAGUUUGGAAGGCAAACAAGAGAAGAUUCAGCAUCCUCAGACAGCUAGGAAGAGGGUCCCAAAGCCCACCCCCACAGUGACACACUGUCUCCAACAAAGCCACACCUACUUCAACAAACCCACACCUCCUAAUAGUACUACUCCUUGAGCCAAGCACAUUUAAAUCACCAUAUUCUACUCUAUGCCCCCCAAUGGCUUUUUCAAACAUUUGAAUCUAUGGGAGCCAUACCUAGCCAUAGCAUACUGCAAAAUGCAUUUAGUCCAACAUAAAAAAUUUCAGAGUCUAUAACAGUCUUCACAAUGUAAAGUGUCCAAAAUUCAGUCUCUUCUGAGAUUUAUCCAAUCACUUAACUGUAAUACCUUAUAAAAUCAAAAUAGAAAGCAUAUCACAUAGCUCCAACAUCAUAGUAUGUACAUUACCAUUCCAAAACAUCAUAGUGAGGAAAUGCUGAAACAAAGCAAGCUCAAAAUGCAGCUAGGCAAAACCCAAACUUGUAUCUCCACAUCUGGUGUGAAAGUGCUCUUCAGAUCCUUAACUCCUUUCUGCUUCUUGACUGAAGCACACUUCUUUGUGGUCGGUUAUACUCUCUAUAAGCAGCAUUCCUCAGCAGAUAUACCAUGCCUCCAGCAUCUCUAACAUCUCAGGGGUUUCAAGGCAACUUCAGUCUUACAGCUUCUUGUUCCAAUGCCUGGGAUUUACACAUGAUCUUUUGGGCUCUUCCAAAGACUUGGGUUACUUCUCCAGCUCUGUCUUCUGUAGCACUCUAGGCUCUGAUCGACCAUACUUCACUGCUGCUGGUGGUUUGGGUGGUGAUCCCAUAGUACUGACAUCUCCAAUAUGCUGAGAUCUUCCUCUGCAACCAGGCUUCACCCUUCAUGGUGUCAAACCUCAACUUCUAUGCAUGAUCCCCUCAGUCCUGGGCCAUUAACUGCAACUGAGGCUGCACCUUCACCAAUAGCCUUUCCUGGCUACUCACAAUGCCAAGUAUCAGUUUUCUCUCAGACCUCUUCAUGCCUUCAAAUCCAGUACCACCUGGGUGACUCUUACACAUCACCAAGUCCAGCUAAAGCACAGGAACAACCUUGGCUAUCUCUGGAACACAGCUUCUUUGUGCUCUCAGAAAAUGCUUCCCAGAAGAUUUCACCUCAGUGAUGCUUGUCUCUUCUUAAUCGCUGUUAAUUUAUUAGCUCCAGGUAACUAGCAUUAGUUUCUACUCUUGACUCUUGCCCGAGCUAGUAUCUCGCCGGCAAGAAUUCACUCGGACAACUGGAUCCUUCUACAGCAAAGCUUUUAUUGCUUCAACAUAAGGAAGACCCCGAACCCGGAAAAUGGCGCUGCUUAUAUAGCCCGCAGCAUGACGUUUCAGCACCUGACGUGGCAUGACAGCACCUGAUUAGUUGCUCGCCCAUCACCCCAUUACUACGCCGCGAGAUGGGCAGUGACUGGGCCUGAAUUUACUCUUGCACUUGCGCAUAAGGCUUGUUUACUAGUUAGGCUCAGUGGAAGCCAGCGCCAUCUUAUAAUGGCGAUUGCUCACGGCACGGCUCUCCACACUUGACUCUUAAGCCAGAGCUACAUGGCUAAAGCUGACAACAAGUUCUGCUUGCCAGAGCUGGAAUGUGGCCCAUUUGUUCUUUUACAUUAUCACCAGCUUUAUGUGUUCAAACUCCUUCACUGCUUAAGCUUGGCCAUCCUGGACCUUGCCCUUUAGAUUGACCUCAAAUUCAGAGAUUUGCAUGGUUCUGUCUUUUGAAAGCUGGGAUUAAACGCAAGAACCACCAUGCAUGGAACUAAACUUUUCUUUAACUUGAGCAUCCUCUGUAACAGGCUGGUCUUGAACUCAGAGAUCUGCUUGCUUCUAUCUCUUGGGAUUAAAAGUAUGUGCCACCCUGCCUGGACCUAAGCUUUCUCAUUAUAGAUCUUAACCAAGUUGAAAACCAAGAAUAGCCAUCACAAUCUAUCUCUUGUCAAUUUGACACAUAAUUGUAUCUCCUCUUGUCCAAAUGUAAACAAUAACCAGGAUAUAACAACACCUAACAUGAUAUAACUCCUCCUUGUACAACAAAUUUAUUUGGGUGGGAUCUUGCCUUAAGGUUGUCACUCCCUUAAUUGCAUUUAAUAUUCUUGGAAACAGAAUGUAGCGUCAUUGUACUUCCUGGUGCUCCCUUACACUUUGAACUGUACAUUUUGUAUUUUCCUUCCUAAGCUUGCUACAUUUGGUCAAACUGCUCUUCAUUAGAGUAAACCAGAAUACAAAGUCUAUGCUGGGCUUUUUUGAGACACUUUUCUCUCAAAGCAAUUAGUUUAAAUUCCUUCACCUUUGCCUCAGGCAGACUUUUCAUACAAGGGUGAAAAGCAACCCCUCUCUCCACCAAAAUAAUAAGAACAAUCUCUAGGCAGCAUAAUAUUAUUCUCAGAAACCACUUGAGACCCCCAGAGUUCUAAUCACCAUCAGCACCAAUGUAUUCUAUAUUCCUUCUAGGAUAGCCCAUUAAGUCCCAUUUGAAGCAUUCCAUGGCUUUCCAAAUUCAAAGCCCCCAAAUCCACAUUCUUCUAAACACAAUAUAGUCUGGCCUGUCACAGCAAUACCCCUCAGUCUCUGGUAUCAACCCAUGUCUUAGGAUUUCCCUUGCAGUGAAGAGAAACCAUAACCAAAGCAACUCUUACAAAAGACAGCAUUUAAUUGGGGCUGGCUUACAGAAUCAGAGAUUCAGCAUAGCAGUGUCCAUGUAAGCAUGCUGCUAGAGGAGCUGAGAGUUCUGUCUUGUUUGGAAGACAAACAGGAGAAGACUCAGCAUCCUCAGGUAGCCAGAAGGAGGGUCUCAAAACACACCCCCACAGUGACACACAUUCUCCAACAAGGCCACACCUACUUCAACAAAUUCGUACCUCCUAAUAGUUUCAUUUAUUGUGCCAAGCAUAUUCAAACCACCACACCUCCCCCGGGAGCUACAAUACCUCUGGAUGAGCAGACUUCCUCUCAGAGCUGUGUGGUUGCUGGUCUCUAGUGUCUCUGGAUACUCUUCCAUUGGGACACUCUCCUGCUUCAAAGCUGUGUACAUCCUAGGCUUCCAAGUCACAGGACACCUUCCCAUCCCAGCAGAAAGGUCAAGGUUUUGGUGUAGUGCUUCGUGUAGACUUUCUCUGUGGCUUGUGCUUCCCCAACUCUGGAGAGAUCGAACUGCUCUAGGACUCUUCCAUCUCCGGCUGGCCUGCAGCAGACUCAUCUUCCAGCUCACCUAUAGCUCAUCAUCCUAUCCACUAGCAACAAUUAGGAUUGCUAGCUCUUAGCUCUGUAGCCAGAGCCUGCAACUACUGGUAUACCCUGAAAGUGAGGACUGAACUUGCUCCAUAGACUUCAAACUCACAGAGCAGUGGGAGAGAUGAACGAGGAUGGGACCUCUACACACACAUUCAACAAGAAAUAGUCUAAUGAUGUCGCUCCUUUCCCCCAACCCUGACUGUACAUCAAUGUAAACAAAAAGGGGGUUUCAUUUGCAGAAUUUGUAUACUUUGUAAACUCUGUAUAUUUGGUAAACUCUCUAAACCUUCAAGGUAGGAAAGUGGUCAGGCUCUUGUCUGAGGUGCUCCAGCAGCCAGGCCCAUCCCCAGACCUCUCUGUCAUGAUUGUCACAAAGGUCAUCUCCAGCCAUUCAGCAGGACCCUCCCCAUAUUACUCUAAUUUUAGGUGAAAAGUCUGAUCAAAAGCCACAAAUCCCUGAAUAGCAAAACCUACCAAUCCCUGAAUUUCCCAUACUAACCCACCAACCCCUGAGCACAAAACAACAACAACAACAACAACAAAAAAACCCCACAAAACUAAAAACAAAAACAAAACAAUCCCUGAAGAGGAAAACCCUAAGCACCAAAUCCUACAAAUUCUUACCCUGAAAACCUCCACCUUAGAAAGUCCCACCCCCCAAGAACCUCUAUAUAAACACUGUGCCUUGUCCAAUCCCACACUGUCUGCUCCCUCCUGGGAACUUAGGCAGCCACCCCUGGACUCACCCAUGCACACCCUGGAACCACCAAUAAAUCUUUUAUGAGGUUUGCUGCCUGGCAUGACUCAACUGAAGAUGAUGAGAAGCAAUUGAAGUGAAGCAGGGAAGAAGCAAAGAAGAGGAGC